rnacentral:rRNA from 1 species
UAGGGAAUCUUCCACAAUGGACGCAAGUCUGAUGGAGCAACGCCGCGUGAGUGAAGAAGGUUUUCGGACCGUAAGGCUCUGUUGUUGGUGAAGAAGGAUAGAGGUAGUAACUGGCCUUUAUUUGACGGUAAUCAACCAGAAAGUCACGGCUAACUACGUGCCAGCAGCCGCGGUAAUACGUAGGUGGCAAGCGUUGUCCGGAUUUAUUGGGCGUAAAGCGAGCGCAGGCGGAAGAAUAAGUCUGAUGUGAAAGCCCUCGGCUUAACCGAGGAAUUGCAUCGGAAACUGUUUUUCUUGAGUGCAGAAGAGGAGAGUAGAACUCCAUGUGUAGCGGUGGAAUGCGUAGAUAUAUGGAAGAAUACCAGUGGCGAAGGCGGCUCUCUGGUCUGCAACUGACGCUGAGGCUCGAAAGCAUGGGUAGCGAACAGGAUUAGAUACCCUGGUAGUCCAUGCCGUAAACGAUGAGUGCUAAGUGUUGGGAGGCUUCCGCCUCUCAGUGCUGCAGCUAACGCAUUAAGCACUCCGCCUGGGGGAGUACGACCGCAAGGUUGAAAC